rnacentral:rRNA from 1 species
AGAGUUUGAUCCUGGCUCAGAUUGAACGCUGGCGGUAUGCUUAACACAUGCAAGUCGAACGGAAACGAAACUAGCUUGCUAGUAGGCGUCGAGUGGCGGACGGGUGAGUAACGCGUAGGAAUCUGCCUGAUAGUGGGGGAUAGCCCGAAGAAAUUCGGAUUAAUACCGCAUAAUCUAUUCGUAGUAAAGUGGGGGACUUUCGAGCCUCACGCUAUCAGAUGAGCCUGCGUAAGAUUAGCUUGUUGGUAGGGUAAAAGCCUACCAAGGCAACGAUCUUUAGCUGGUCUGAGAGGAUGAUCAGCCACAUCGGGACUGAGACACGGCCCGAACUCCUACGGGAGGCAGCAGUGGGGAAUAUUGGACAAUGGGGGCAACCCUGAUCCAGCAAUACCGCGUGUGUGAAGAAGGCCUGAGGGUUGUAAAGCACUUUCAAUUGUGAAGAAAAGUUAACGGUUAAUAACCGUUGACCUUGACGUUAACUUUAGAAGAAGCACCGGCUAACUCCGUGCCAGCAGCCGCGGUAAUACGGAGGGUGCAAGCGUUAAUCGGAAUUACUGGGCGUAAAGCGUGCGUAGGCGGUUUAUUAAGUCAGAUGUGAAAGCCCUGGGCUUAACCUGGGAACUGCAUUUGAAACUGGUCAACUAGAGUAUGGUAGAGGAAAGUGGAAUUUCUGGUGUAGCGGUGAAAUGCGUAGAUAUCAGAAGGAACAUCAAUGGCGAAGGCAGCUUUCUGGACCAAUACUGACGCUGAGGUACGAAAGCGUGGGUAGCAAACAGGAUUAGAUACCCUGGUAGUCCACGCCGUAAACGAUGAUAACUAGCCGUUGGGGGGAUUUACCCCUUAGUGGCGAAGCUAACGCGUUAAGUUAUCCGCCCGGGGAGUACGGCCGCAAGGCUAAAACUCAAAGGAAUUGACGGGGACCCGCACAAGCGGUGGAGCAUGUGGUUUAAUUCGAUGCAACGCGAAGAACCUUACCUGGUCUUGACAUCCUGCGAACUUUCUAGAAAUAGAUUGGUGCCUUCGGGAACGCAGUGACAGGUGCUGCAUGGCUGUCGUCAGCUCGUGUCGUGAGAUGUUGGGUUAAGUCCCGUAACGAGCGCAACCCCUAUCCUUAUUUGCCAGCACAUUAUGGUGGGAACUAUAAGGAGACUGCCGGUGAUAAACCGGAGGAAGGCGGGGACGACGUCAAGUCAUCAUGGCCCUUACGACCAGGGCUACACACGUGCUACAAUGGGAAGGACAAAGAGCCGCGAAGCCGCGAGGUGUAGCUAAUCUCAUAAAUCUUUUCGUAGUCCGGAUUGGAGUCUGCAACUCGACUCCAUGAAGUCGGAAUCGCUAGUAAUCGUAGAUCAGAAUGCUACGGUGAAUACGUUCCCGGGUCUUGUACACACCGCCCGU